AUUGAACGCUGGCGGCAGGCCUAACACAUGCAAGUCGAACGGAAACAGGCAGCUUGUUCCUGGUUUCCGCGGCGGUCGCGGGAGUAUUGCCCAUGAGUCUGCCUCGUCGUGGUGGAUGAUGACCGCAAACGGCUGCGGCUACUGCAUACGCCCUGCGUCAGAAGGUGGGGGAUCGUCGGACUUCUCCCUCUCUGAUGAGCCUAGGCCGGAUUAGCUAGUUGGUGGGGUAAGGGCCUACCAAGGCGACGAUCCGUAACUGGUCGGAGAGGAUGAUCAGCCACACUGGAACUGAGACACGGUCAAGACUACUACGGGAGGCAGCAGUGGGGAAUAUUGGACAAUGGGCGAAAGCCUGAUCCAGCCAUGCCGCGUGUGUGAAGAAGGUCUUCGGAUUGUAAAGUACGUUAAGGGGGGAGGAAGGGCAGUAAGUUAAUACCUUGCUGUAUUGACGUUACCAGCAGAAGAAGCACCGGCUAACUUCGUG
rnacentral:rRNA from 1 species